rnacentral:rRNA from 1 species
CCUACGGGAGGCAGCAGUGAGGAAUAUUGGUCAAUGGACGCAAGUCUGAACCAGCCAUGCCGCGUGCAGGAAGACGGCUCUAUGAGUUGUAAACUGCUUUUGUACGAGGGUAAACGCAGAUACGCGAAUCUGACUGAAAGUAUCGCACGAAUAAGGAUCGGCAAACUCCGUGCCAGCAGCCGCGGUAAUACGGAGGAUUAAAGCGUUAUCCGGAUUUAUUGGGUUAAAAGGGUGGGCAGCGGGUCUGUUAAGUCAGCGGUAAAAGCCCGGGGCUAAACCCGGGCCCGCCGUUGAAACUGGCAGUCUCGAGUUGGAGAGAGGUAUGCGGAAUGCGCGGUGUAGCGGUGAAAUGCAUAGAUAUCGCGCAGAACUCCGGUUGCGAAGGCAGCAUGCCGGCUCCAAACUGACGCUGAGGCACGAAAGCGUGGGUAUCGAACAGGAUUAGAUACCCCAGUAGUC